rnacentral:rRNA from 1 species
AUUCCAGCUCCAAUAGCGUAUAUUAAAGUUGUUGCGGUUAAAAAGCUCGUAGUUGGAUUUCUGCCGAGGACGACCGGUCCGCCCACUGGGUGUGCAUCUGGCUCGGCCUGGGCAUCUUCUUGGAGAACGUAUCUGCACUUCACUGUGUGGUGCGGUAUCCAGGACUUUUACUUUGAGGAAAUUAGAGUGUUUCAAGCAGGCACACGCCUUGAAUACGUUAGCAUGGAAUAAUAAGAUAGGACCUUGGUUCUAUUUUGUUGGUUUCUAGAACACCGGAGUAAUGAUUAACAGGGACAGUCAGGGGCACUCGUAUUCCGCCGAGAGAGGUGAAAUUCUCAGACCAGCGGAAAACGAACCACUGCGAAAGCAUUUGCCAGGGAUGUUUUCAUUG